UCCGUAGGCAGCAAGCGUUGUUCGGAAUUACUGGGCGUAAAGAGUGUGUAGGCGGUGCUCUAAGUCUGUUGUGAAAUCUCCCGGCUUAACCGGGAGGGUGCGGCGGAAACUGGAGUGCUUGAGGGUGGGAGAGGUAAGCGGAAUUCCUGGUGUAGCGGUGAAAUGCGCAGAUAUCAGGAAGAACACCCGUGGCUAAGGCGGCUCUCUAGUACGGUACUGACGCUGAGACGCGAAAGCGUGGGGAGCGAACAGG
rnacentral:rRNA from 1 species